CCUACGGGUGGCAGCAGUGGGGAAUAUUGCACAAUGGGGGAAACCCUGAAGCAGCGACGCCGCGUGAGCGAAGAAGUAUUUCGGAUUGUAAACUUCUUUCAGUAGGGAAGAAAAUGACGGUAUCUGAGUAAUAAGCUCCGGCUAAAUCCGUGCCAGCAGCCGCGGUAAUACGGAGGGAGCAAGCGUUACCCGGAUUUACUGGGCGUAAAGGGCGCGUAGGCGGGCUGGCAAGUCAGAUGUGAAAUCCCGGGGCUCAACCCCAGGACUGCAUUGGAAACUGGUAGUCUAGAGUAUCGGAGAGGGAGGUGGAAUUCUUGGUGUAGCGGUAAAAUGCGUAGAGAUCAAGAGGAACACCCAUGGCGAAGGCGACCUGCUAGACCAUAACUGACGCUGAGGCGCGAAAGCGUGGGGAGCAAACAGGAUUAGAUACCCGGGUAGUC
rnacentral:rRNA from 1 species